CGCAUGGCACCCCGGCUAAAGCCCCGACGGGAGGGGAUGGCUCCGCGGCCCAUCAGGUAGACGGCGGGGUGACGGCCCACCGUGCCGACAACGGGUAGCCGGGUUGAGAGACCGACCGGCCAGAUUGGGACUGAGACACGGCCCAGACUCCUACGGGAGGCAGCAGUGGGGAAUCUUGCGCAAUGGGGGGAACCCUGACGCAGCGACGCCGCGUGCGGGACGGAGGCCUUCGGGUCGUAAACCGCUUUCAGCAGGGAAGAGUCAAGACUGUACCUGCAGAAGAAGCCCCGGCUAACUACGUGCCAGCAGCCGCGGUAAUACGUAGGGGGCGAGCGUUAUCCGGAUUCAUUGGGCGUAAAGCGCGCGUAGGCGGCCCGGCAGGCCGGGGGUCGAAGCGGGGGGCUCAACCCCCCGAAGCCCCCGGAACCUCCGCGGCUUGGGUCCGGUAGGGGAGGGUGGAACACCCGGCGUAGCGGUGGAAUGCGCAGAUAUCGGGUGGAACACCGGUGGCGAAGGCGGCCCUCUGGGCCGAGACCGACGCUGAGGCGCGAAAGCUGGGGGAGCGAACAGGAUUAGAUACCCUGGUAGUCCCAGCCGUAAACGAUGGACGCUAGGUGUGGGGGGACGAUCCCCCCGUGCCGCAG
rnacentral:rRNA from 1 species